rnacentral:rRNA from 1 species
UAGGGAAUCUUCCACAAUGGGCGAGAGCCUGAUGGAGCAACGCCGCGUGUGUGAUGAAGGGUUUCGGCUCGUAAAACACUGUUGUAAGAGAAGAAUGACAUUGAGAGUAACUGUUCAAUGUGUGACGGUAUCUUACCAGAAAGGAACGGCUAAAUACGUGCCA